CCUACGGGUGGCAGCAGUGGGGAAUAUUGGACAAUGGGGGGAACCCUGAUCCAGCCAUGCCGCGUGUGUGAAGAAGGCCCUCGGGUUGUAAAGCACUUUCAGUGAGGAAGAACGCCUGGUGGUUAAUACCCAUCAGGAAAGACAUCACUCACAGAAGAAGCACCGGCUAACUCCGUGCCAGCAGCCGCGGUAAUACGGAGGGUGCGAGCGUUAAUCGGAAUUACUGGGCGUAAAGCGCGCGUAGGUGGCUUGAUAAGCCGGUUGUGAAAGCCCCGGGCUCAACCUGGGAACGGCAUCCGGAACUGUCAAGCUAGAGUGCAGUAGAGGAAGGUAGAAUUCCCGGUGUAGCGGUGAAAUGCGUAGAGAUCGGGAGGAAUACCAGUGGCGAAGGCGGCCUUCUGGACUGACACUGACACUGAGGUGCGAAAGCGUGGGUAGCAAACAGGAUUAGAUACCCGGGUAGUC
rnacentral:rRNA from 1 species